rnacentral:rRNA from 1 species
GACGAACGCUGGCGGCGUGCUUAACACAUGCAAGUCGAACGGAAAGGCCUGCUUUCCCUUGUGGAUUGCGGGUACUCGAGUGGCGAACGGGUGAGUAACACGUGAGUGAUCUGCCCCCAACUUGGGUAUAAGCCUGGGAAACUGGGUCUAAUUCCCGAUAGGACUGCAGGGUGGUGCCUGUGGUGGAAAACGAUUUUCUAGUGGUUGGGGAUGAGCUCGCGGCCUAUCAGCUUGUUGGUGGGGUAAUGGCCUACCAAGGCGGCGACGGGUAGCCGGCCUGAGAGGGUGGACGGCGACAUUGGGACUGGGAUACGGCCCAGACUCCUACGGGAGGCAGCAGUGGGGAAUAUUGCACAAUGGGCGGGAGCCUGAUGCAGCGACGCCGCGUGGGGGAUGACGGCCUUCGGGUUGUAAACUCCUUUCGACCGCGAGGAAGCCACCUGGUUGGAAGGGUGGUGACGGUAGUGGUAGAAGAAGCACCGGCUAACUACGUG